rnacentral:rRNA from 1 species
AUGAGCGCACAGCGGUGGUCGGAGCUGCCCUACACCCGUGUUGCCUCGGUGGCCAUGCGGCGCUACAAGGUCCUCUUCAAGAAGCACGACGGGGAGCGCUUCGACAAGUACCUGGAGGACGUGGAGGCCGGCAAGGCCAAGAUCUCGGCGGGGGCGCUGCUGCCCCACGAGAUCGCGGCGGCCGCCUACCGUGGCGAGGACGACGACGUGUCCGAGCUGCAGUGGCGCCGCAUGGUGGACGACCUCCGCUCCAAGGGCUCGUCGUGCAAUUGCAUCUCAGUCUGCGACGUGUCCGGCAGCAUGACCGGCACUCCCAUGGAGGUGUGCAUUGCGCUCGGCGUGCUCACGUCGGAGCUCAGCGAGGAGCCGUGGGCGGGCAAGGUGAUCACCUUCAGCGAGAGGCCUGAGCUCCAGCUCAUCAACGGCAAGACCCUCCGUGAGAAGAUGAGGUUCGUGCAGCGUAUGGAGUGGGACAUGAACACCAACUUCCAAGCAGUGUUCGACCAGAUCCUCCGCACGGCGGUGGAAGCCCGGCUGGCGCCAGAGAAGAUGAUCAGGACUGUGUUUGUGUACAGCGACAUGGAGUUCGACGAGGCGUCGGGGCACGAGGAUGACGACGACGAUGACUACUCUGAGGACGACGAUGAGGAGGACGAGGAGGAGGAAAGGCAGCGGUCGUGGAACACAGAUUAUAAGGUGAUCUGCCAGAAGUUUAGGGACGCCGGGUACGGGGACGUGGUGCCGCAAAUCAUCUUCUGGAACCUGCGCGACUCCAAAUCGAUGCCGGUGACGUCGACGCAGCCCGGGGUGGCCAUGGUGAGCGGCUUCUCCAAGAACUUCCUCAAGAUCUUCCUGAAGAGGGACGGCGUGGUGAACCCCGAGGCCAUUAUGAUGGAGGCCAUCGCCGGCGACGAGUACCAGAAGCUGGCUGUGUUCGACUAG